rnacentral:rRNA from 1 species
AGUGAACGCUGGCGGUAGGCCUAACACAUGCAAGUCGAACGGCAGCACAGUAAGAGCUUGCUCUUACGGGUGGCGAGUGGCGGACGGGUGAGGAAUACAUCGGAAUCUACUUUUUCGUGGGGGAUAACGUAGGGAAACUUACGCUAAUACCGCAUACGACCUACGGGUGAAAGCAGGGGAUCUUCGGACCUUGCGCGAUUGAAUGAGCCGAUGUCGGAUUAGCUAGUUGGCGGGGUAAGGGCCCACCAAGGCGACGAUCCGUAGCUGGUCCGAGAGGAUGAUCAGCCACACUGGAACUGAGACACGGUCCAGACUCCUACGGGAGGCAGCAGUGGGGAAUAUUGGACAAUGGGCGCAAGCCUGAUCCAGCCAUACCGCGUGGGUGAAGAAGGCCUUCGGGUUGUAAAGCCCUUUUGUUGGGAAAGAAAAGCAGCAGGUUAAUACCCCGCUGUUCUGACGGUACCCAAAGAAUAAGCACCGGCUAACUUCGUG